rnacentral:rRNA from 1 species
UUAGCUAGUUGGUAAGGUAACGGCUUACCAAGGCUACGAUGUUUAGGGGAUCUGAGAGGAUGGCCCCCCACACUGGUACUGAGACACGGACCAGACUCCUACGGGAGGCAGCAGUAAGGAAUAUUGGUCAAUGGGCGCAAGCCUGAACCAGCCAUGCCGCGUGCAGGAAGACGGCCCUAUGGGUUGUAAACUGCUUUUGUACCGGAAUAAACCCUUUUACGUGUAAGAGGCUGAAUGUACGGUAAGAAUAAGGAUCGGCUAACUCCGUGCCAGCAGCCGCGGUAAUACGGAGGAUCCAAGCGUUAUCCGGAUUUAUUGGGUUUAAAGGGUGCGUAGGCGGCCUAUUAAGUCAGGGGUGAAAGACGGUAGCUUAACUAUCGCAGUGCCUUUGAUACUGAUGGGCUUGAAUCCACUUGAGGUAGGCGGAAUGUGACAAGUAGCGGUGAAAUGCAUAGAUAUGUCACAGAACACCAAUUGCGAAGGCAGCUUACUAAAGUGGUAUUGACGCUGAGGCACGAAAGCGUGGGGAUCAAACAGGAUUAGAUACCCUGGUAGUCCACGCCCUAAACGAUGAACACUCGAUGUUGGCGAUAUACGGUCAGCGUCU